rnacentral:rRNA from 1 species
UGAGGAAUAUUGGUCAAUGGGCGAGAGCCUGAACCAGCCAAGUAGCGUGCAGGAUGACGGCCCUAUGGUUUGUAAACUGCUUUUAUGUGGGGAUAAAGUGCGUGACGUGUCAUGCAUUGCAGGUACCACAUGAAUAAGGACCGGCUAAUUCCGUGCCAGCAGCCGCGGUAAUACGGAAGGUCCGGGCGUUAUCCGGAUUUAUUGGGUUUAAAGGGAGCGUAGGCUGUCUAUUAAGCGUGUUGUGAAAUUUACCGGCUCAACCGGUGGCUUGCAGCGCGAACUGGUCGACUUGAGUAUGCAGGAAGUAGGCGGAAUUCAUGGUGUAGCGGUGAAAUGCUUAGAUAUCAUGACGAACUCCGAUUGCGCAGGCAGCUUACUGUAGCAUAACUGACGCUGAUGCUCGAAAGUGCGGGUAUCAAACAGG